rnacentral:rRNA from 1 species
UACGGAGGGUGCAAGCGUUAUUCGGAAUUACUAGGUGUAAAGGGCGUGUAGGCGGUUUAAUAAGUUAGAUGUGAAAACUCAUAGCUCAACUAUGAGCCUGCAUCUAAAACUGUUAGACUUGAGUAUGGAAGGGGAAAACGGAAUUUCUAGUGUAGCGGUGGAAUGUGUAGAUACUAGAAGGAACACCGAUGGCGAAAGCGGUUUUCUGGUCCAAUACUGACGCUAAGGCGCGAAAGCUAGGGGAG